CUUUCUUUGCUGGCGACCGGCGCACGGGUGAGUAACACGUAUCCAACCUGCCCUUUACUCGGGGAUAGCCUUUCGAAAGAAAGAUUAAUACCCGAUAGCAUAAUGAUUCCGCAUGGUUUCAUUAUUAAAGGAUUCCGGUAAAGGAUGGGGAUGCGUUCCAUUAGGUUGUUGGUGAGGUAACGGCUCACCAAGCCUUCGAUGGAUAGGGGUUUUGAGAGGAAGGUCCCCCACAUUGGAACUGAGACACGGUCCAA
rnacentral:rRNA from 1 species